GCCGGGCGUGGUGGCACACGCCUGUAAUCCCAGCUACUUAGGAGGCUGAGGCACGAGAAUUGCUUGAACCCAGGAGGUGGAGUUUGCAGUGCCGAGAUCGUGCCAUUGAACUCCAGCCUGGGCAACAGAGCAAGACUUCGUCUCAA
rnacentral:SRP_RNA from 2 species